rnacentral:rRNA from 1 species
CCCGAAAGGGGAAGGACSCUUUUAUUAGAUCAAAGCCAAUCGGCCGGCUCGCCCGGUCGUUCCGUUUUGGUGACUCUGGAUAACCUUGGGCUGAUCGCACGGUCUCCGCACCGGCGACGUGUCCUUCAAAUGUCUGCCUUAUCAACUGACGAUGGUAGGUUUUGCGCCUACCAUGGUUGUAACGGGUGACGGGGAAUCAGGGUUCGAUUCCU